rnacentral:rRNA from 1 species
GUAGGUGGCAAGCGUUGUCCGGAAUUAUUGGGCGUAAAGCGCGCGCAGGCGGUUCUUUAAGUCUGAUGUGAAAGCCCACGGCUCAACCGUGGAGGGUCAUUGGAAACUGGAGAACUUGAGUACAGAAGAGGAAAGCGGAAUUCCACGUGUAGCGGUUAAAUGCGUAGAGAUGUGGAGGAACACCAGUGGCGAAGGCGGCUUUCUGGUCUGUAACUGACGCUGAGGCGCGAAAGCGUGGGGAGCAAACAGGGAUUAGAUACCCCGGUAGUCCACGCCGUAAACGAUGAGUGCUAAGUGUUAGGGGGUUUCCCGCCCCUUAGUGCUGCAGCUAACGCAUUAAGCACCCCGCCUGGGGAGUACGGCCGCAAGGCUG